AGAUGUCUUAGGAUCCUGUGGGUGA
rnacentral:piRNA from 1 species